UUAACUCAAAUUUGUAUGGAGUUUAAACCUUCGCCUACGUUUGCCGCUAGAGGCGCUGUUCCAACUGCAUACAAAGAGUUA
rnacentral:pre_miRNA from 1 species